rnacentral:rRNA from 1 species
UGGGAACGUACCCUUGGGUUCGGAAUAACGCCAGGGAAACUUGCGCUAAUACCGGAUACGCCCCUUUGGGGAAAGGUUUACUGCCGAAGGAUCGGCCCGCGUCUGAUUAGCUACUCGGUGGGGUAACGGCCUACCAAGGCGACGAUCAGUAGCUGGUCUGAGAGGAUGAUCAGCCACACUGGGACUGAGACACGGCCCAGACUCCUACGGGAGGCAGCAGUGGGGAAUAUUGGACAAUGGGCGCAAGCCUGAUCCAGCCAUGCCGCGUGAGUGAUGAAGGCCUUAGGGUUGUAAAGCUCUUUUGUCCGGGACGAUAAUGACGGUACCGGAAGAAUAAGCCCCGGCUAACUUCGUGCCAGCAGCCGCGGUAAUACGAAGGGGGCUAGCGUUGCUCGGAAUCACUGGGCGUAAAGGGCGCGUAGGCGGCCUUGUAAGUUGGGGGUGAAAGCCCGUGGCUCAACCACGGAAUUGCCUUCGAUACUGCUUGGCUUGAGUGUGGUAGAGGUUGGUGGAACUGCGAGUGUAGAGGUGAAAUUCCUAGAUAUUCGCAAGAACACCGAUGGCGAAGGCGGCCAACUGGACCAUCACUGACGCUGAGGCGCGAAAGCGUGGGGAGCANACACGAUUGGAUCCCCUGG